GCCUUGGUAGCUCAGUAGGUAGAGCGCGUGCUUGGUAAGCACGAGGUCGCGAGUUCGAUUCUCGCUCAAGGCU
rnacentral:tRNA from 1 species